rnacentral:tRNA from 1 species
GGGCCAUUUGCUUAGCCUGGUUAACAAGGUUUUAUAUGCUUGGUCAACAAGCGCAGGUCUUAUAAACCUGAGAAAUGAGAAGGGAAUCCUUCUUGGCAGGAAAUCCGGGGUUCAAAUCCCCGAUGGCCCA